AACGUAGGAGACAAACGUUAUCCGGAGUUACUGGGCGUAAAGGGCGUGUAGGUGGUUUUGUAAGUCUGGCGUGAAAUUUUUCGGCUUAACCGGGAAAGGUCGUCGGAUACUGCAGAACUAGAGGACGGUAGAGGCGUGUGGAAUUCCGGGUGUAGUGGUGAAAUGCGUAGAGAUCCGGAGGAACACCAGUGGCGAAGGCGACACGCUGGGCCGUACCUGACACUGAUGCGCGACAGCAUGGGGAGCAAACAGG
rnacentral:rRNA from 2 species